AUUGAACGCUGGCGGCAGGCCUAACACAUGCAAGUCGAGCGAGCGGCGGACGGGUGAGUAAUGUCUGGGAAACUGCCUGAUGGAGGGGGAUAACUACUGGAAACGGUAGCUAAUACCGCAUACCAUCAGAUGUGCCCAGAUGGGAUUAGCUAGUAGGUGGGGUAACGGUUCACCUAGGCGACGAUCCCUAGCUGGUCUGAGAGGAUGACCAGGCAGACUGGAACUGAGACACGGUCCAGACUCCUACGGGAGGCAGCGGUGGGGAAUAUUGCACAAUGGGCGCAAGCCUGAUGCGGCCAUGCCGCGGGUGUGAAGAAGGCCUUCGGGUUGUAAAGCACUUUCAGCGGGGAGGCGUUACCCUCAGAAGAAGCACCGGCUAACUCCGUGCCAGCAGCCGCGGUAAUAC
rnacentral:rRNA from 1 species